CCUGGACAAGGGAACAAUGCCCCUGCCUGGGCUCUGCCACCAGAGCCCUCCCUAGCAAUAGGCAGCUCUGGGGGUCAGGGAGCAAUCUCCCAGCCUUCCCAAGGAGACAUCUGUCUCCUGGCCCUGUGUUCCCUGCCAGCCCCUGGGCUAGCAGCCUGGGGGAGCCUGGAGCAGGGUGGGAGCAGCCCUCUCCAGGCUGCUCCCAUUGGAAGCAAAUCUGCUCCAUUGGAAGCAAAUCUGCUCCCAAGUGCCUACUCAUGUAGAUGCCUUUCCAGGGUGGGUUUACUCUGGAGUAAAUUACUCUGGAGUAAACUCACCCACCAGCGUAUGCAUGUGUAAAUACGCCCAGUGACCCUUACCGUGAAGCUAGUCAACUCCACAGUAAAGCUCAUGUAUAGAUACACCCUCUGGACACAUCCCCAUGAGCAGGAAUGUGUGUUUCCCUGGGGACAAGUAACAGUGGCACACCUUGUGCUGCUGCUACUUAUCCCAGAGGAACACUCAUGCCAUGUACACCCUGGUGUGCAGCAGGUUACCCUGAGUGGAGUAAGGGAAGCUGAGGCCAGCUUUUGCACUGGCCUCAGCAGCCUUAUCUGGGGUCCUAGGGGCCUUGCAGGGGUGUAGGUGUCACUGUGGCACUCCUGCAGCCUGGAGCCUGGCUGGUAGCCAGACCUUAGUUCCAGCUGGUCAGACUCCGGUUUUGGGUGGCACAUGCUGCCACCAUAUGUACCAUCCCACUUUUUUUGGCAUGGGUUUUUUUGUUCCUGGAAUCUCCAAGGGUCAAGAAAUCUCUCCCUGAUGCAAAGUAGCAGCACAAGGAAUGCCUGCAUGUGCUGUAUGUGGUGCUGCAGACAGACCUGCGGUGACACAUACCGCACAUCCGCGCUCACCUGGACACGGCCUCUGAGUACAAAAGACAGCCUUACAUUAGGCCUCUGCAUUUUUCUGAAAUUAAAUCUGGUAGCUCUGAAGAGGGAGAGAGUGAGGAUCCCAACAAGGAAGAGAGAGCCUGCACAAGAUGAACUGUUUCUUACCUGAAAUGUAAGUGCAUUUUGGAACUUCUGAUGAUUUCCCCUGCACUGAGAGGACAUUGUGUUGUGUUUCGUUAACUCUGUAGCAAAACUGAGCUGAGGCAGAAAUUCUGUAGUGAAACAAAAACAGAGGAGCAUUAGUGGUAAUGCUGUUUCCCUUCAGUGAGACUUCUGACGUGUGCAAAGUUACUCAGGGGAAUAAGUAUUUGCAUAUGGGCAAAUGUUAUUAUUUGGUCAAAUCUAACUCAAAUUAUUGACAGUCUUAUACAGAACAGAUUACAUUUGAGAUCUGGCACAGCAGACACUUAUUAGUAACAACAUACUGGUGCCCUGGUACUGUGUUAUGCCCGAGCAGCUGUUGCUGUUACAGGGAGUAUCAGCUGACCAACAUAAAUCUGUUUUUCCUGAUAGAAA
rnacentral:lncRNA from 1 species